rnacentral:rRNA from 1 species
GACGAACGCUGGCGGCGUGCUUAACACAUGCAAGUCGAACGAUGAAGAAGAGAAACGCGAACUUCGGUUCAAAUUUCACUUCGGAUUAGAGGCAGACGGGUGAGUAACGCGUGAGCAACCUACCUCUUACAAAGGGAUAGCCUCGGGAAACCGUGAUUAAUACCUUAUGACACAUUCAUAAGGCAUCUUAAGAAUGUUAAAGCUACGGCGGUAAGAGAUGGGCUCGCGUCCCAUUAGCUAGUUGGUGAGGUAACGGCCCACCAAGGCGACGAUGGGUAACCGGCCUGAGAGGGUGAACGGUCACAUUGGAACUGAGACACGGUCCAAACUCCUACGGGAGGCAGCAGUGGGGAAUAUUGCACAAUGGAGGGAACUCUGAUGCAGCGACGCCGCGUGAGCGAUGAAGGAAUUCGUUUCGUAAAGCUCUGUUCUAUGGGAAGAAAAGGACUGUACCAUAGGAGAAAGCCCCGGCUAAAUACGUG